rnacentral:rRNA from 1 species
AUUGAACGCUGGCGGCAGGCCUAACACAUGCAAGUCGAACGAGUGGCGGACGGGUGAGUAAUGUCUGGGAAACUGCCCGAUGGAGGGGGAUAACUACUGGAAACGGUAGCUAAUACCGCAUACCAUCGGAUGUGCCCAGAUGGGAUCAGCUAGUAGGUGGGGUAAAGGCUUACCUAGGCGAAGAUCCCUAGCUGGUCUGAGAGGAUGACCAGGCACACUGGAACUGAGACACGGUCCAGACUCCUACGUGAGGCAGCAGUGGGGACUAUUGCACAAUGGGCGCAAGCCUGAUGCAGCCAGGCCGCGGGUAUGAAGAAGGCCUUCGGGUUGUAAAGUACUUUCAGCGAGGAGGCGUUACUCGCAGAAGAAGCACCGGCUAACUCCGUGCCAGCAGCCGCGGUAAUUC